rnacentral:rRNA from 1 species
GUGGGGAAUAUUGGUCAAUGGACGGAAGUCUGAACCAGCCAAGUAGCGUGCAGGAUGACGGCCCUAUGGGUUGUAAACUGCUUUUGUAUGGGAAUAAAGUGCGGGACGUGUCCCGUUUUGUAUGUACCAUAAGAAUAAGGACCGGCUAAUUCCGUGCCAGCAGCCGCGGUAAUACGGAAGGUCCGGGCGUUAUCCGGAUUUAUUGGGUUUAAAGGGAGCGCAGGCUGGAGAUUAAGCGUGACGUGAAAUGCCGCGGCUCAACCGUGGAAGUGCGUCGCGAACUGGUUUCCUUGAGUGUAUUCGACGUCAGCGGAAUUCGUGGUGUAGCGGUGAAAUGCUUAGAUAUCACGAAGAACUCCGAUUGCGAAGGCAGCUGGCGAGGCUAUAACUGACGCUAAAGCUCGAAGGUGCGGGUAUCGAACAGG